rnacentral:pre_miRNA from 1 species
GAGACAUCCCUAUGGAGCAGGACUUGCUUCAGUGUGGCACUCGUGCUCACUGAGUCUUCCCCUUGAGUGUGUCACU